GGCCCUUAUCCUCUUCUUCCUCCUCCUUCUUAUUCACAACUACAAUGAACAGAGGAACACAGGCUUCCAUGCAGGGAAGGACAAUCAAAAGCUUAAUCCAAAAUCGGAAACAUUCCAACAGCAGAGAAUACAGGAUGGUGCCCCUGAAAUAUUGGACAGGUGAUCUCCAGACACAAGAAGAACUCAAAAUUAAUGCCUUUUAAGAAGGAUCAUCGCGUCACCAGCAGAGGAGUCUGGGGGAUCUUGCUGUGUCAUUCCUUCAAGGAAAUGCAUGACAGCUGGUAGGACCUUCACCAGAUUUUUCAGUGCACUUUCUCUGCAGGCCCACUGGGUGUCUGACAGCUUCUUCAGCUCCAGUGGACGCUGAUCUACUGUAUGUGUUUCCUUUUCUGCACUUCAAUAAAUGCAGAGUGCCGUUUUGAUGA